UACGUAGGUGGCAAGCGUUGUCCGGAUUUACUGGGCGUAAAGGGAGUGUAGGCGGAUACUUAAGUCAGAUGUGAAAUACCCGGGCUCAACUUGGGUGCUGCAUUUGAAACUGGGUAUCUAGAGUGCAGGAGAGGAAAGUGGAAUUCCUAGUGUAGCGGUGAAAUGCGUAGAGAUUAGGAAGAACACCAGUGGCGAAGGCGACUUUCUGGACUGUAACUGACGCUGAGGCUCGAAAGCGUGGGGAGCAAAC
rnacentral:rRNA from 1 species